UGCAUAUUGGGAUCAUGGUGAUAGGUUCUCUUUCACAUGAAGGGUUGGGUAGUUAUUUUAUUUCCACUGUGCCUUUUGUUGAUGAAUAGAUUAGACAUUUUCUUCUCUUCCAAUUCUAUUUAAUUAAUAUGAUUAAUUAAAAUCAUGUGAAGUCUUUUUAAUUAAUAUAAUUAAUUAAAAUAUGUGCGAGAAAUCUAACUGAUCUUUCAAGUGGCAUCAGAUCUAGGUUGAGGGUUUAGGGUUAAUUUAAGAUCAUCCUGACAUAAAGU
rnacentral:lncRNA from 1 species